rnacentral:rRNA from 1 species
UACGGGGGGGGCAAGCGUUGUUCGGAAUUACUGGGCGUAAAGGGCUUGUAGGUGGCCAACUAAGUCAGACGUGAAAUCCCUCGGCUUAACCGGGGAACUGCGUCUGAUACUGGAUGGCUUGAGUGUGGGAGAGGGAUGCGGAAUUCCAGGUGUAGCGGUGGAAAUGCGUAGAUAUCAGGAAGAACACCGGUGGCGAAAGCGCUCUGCUAGGCCGCAACUGACACUGAGGGACGAAAGCUAGGGGAGCAAACGGG